UGAGGGAAAGGCGAAAAGAACCCCGGCGAGGGGAGUGAAAAAGAACCUGAAACCGUGUACGUACAAGCAGUGGGAGCACCCUUCGGGGUGUGACUGCGUACCUUUUGUAUAAUGGGUCAGCGACUUAUAUUCUGUAGCAAGGUUAACCGAAUAGGGGAGCCGGAGGGAAACCGAGUCUUAAUUGGGCGUUAAGUUGCAGGGUAUAGACCCGAAACCCGGUGAUCUAGCCAUGGGCAGGUUGAAGGUUGGGUAACACUAACUGGAGGACCGAACCGACUAAUGUUGAAAAAUUAGCGGAUGACCUGUGGCUGGGGGUGAAAGGCCAAUCAAACCGGGAGAUAGCUGGUUCUCCCCGAAAGCUAUUUAGGUAGCGCCUCGUGAAUUCAUCUCCGGGGGUAGAGCACUGUUUCGGCUAGGGGGCCAUCCCGGCUUACCAACCCGAUGCAAACUGCGAAUACCGGAGAAUGUUAUCACGGGAGACACACGGCGGGUGCUAACGUCCGUCGUGAAGAGGGAAACAACCCAGACCGCCAGCUAAGGUCCCAAAGUCAUGGUUAAGUGGGAAACGAUGUGGGAAGGCCCAGACAGCCAGGAUGUUGGCUUAGAAGCAGCCAUCAUUUAAAGAAAGCGUAAUAGCUCACUGGUCGAGUCGGCCUGCGCGGAAGAUGUAACGGGGCUAAACCAUGCACCGAAGCUGCGGCAGCGACACUGUGUGUUGUUGGGUAGGGGAGCGUUCUGUAAGCCUGUGAAGGUGUGUCGUGAGGCAUGCUGGAGGUAUCAGAAGUGCGAAUGCUGACAUAAGUAACGAUAAAGCGGGUGAAAAGCCCGCUCGCCGGAAGACCAAGGGUUCCUGUCCAACGUUAAUCGGGGCAGGGUGAGUCGACCCCUAAGGCGAGGCCGAAAGGCGUAGUCGAUGGGAAACGGGUUAAUAUUCCCGUACUUGGUGUUACUGCGAAGGGGGGACGGAGAAGGCUAUGUUGGCCGGGCGACGGUUGUCCCGGUUUAAGCGUGUAGGUGUGUGUUCCAGGUAAAUCCGGUUCACUUUAACACUGAGGCGUGACGACGAGGCACUACGGUGCUGAAGCAACAAAUGCCCUGCUUCCAGGAAAAGCCUCUAAGCAUCAGGUAACAUCAAAUCGUACCCCAAACCGACACAGGUGGUCAGGUAGAGAAUACCAAGGCGCUUGAGAGAACUCGGGUGAAGGAACUAGGCAAAAUGGUGCCGUAACUUCGGGAGAAGGCACGCUGACACGUAGGUGAAGUGAUUUACUCAUGGAGCUGAAGUCAGUCGAAGAUACCAGCUGGCUGCAACUGUUUAUUAAAAACACAGCACUGUGCAAACACGAAAGUGGACGUAUACGGUGUGACGCCUGCCCGGUGCCGGAAGGUUAAUUGAUGGGGUCAGCGCAAGCGAAGCUCCUGAUCGAAGCCCCGGUAAACGGCGGCCGUAACUAUAACGGUCCUAAGGUAGCGAAAUUCCUUGUCGGGUAAGUUCCGACCUGCACGAAUGGCGUAAUGAUGGCCAGGCUGUCUCCACCCGAGACUCAGUGAAAUUGAACUCGCUGUGAAGAUGCAGUGUACCCGCGGCAAGACGGAAAGACCCCGUGAACCUUUACUAUAGCUUGACACUGAACAUUGAGCCUUGAUGUGUAG
rnacentral:rRNA from 1 species